UGGGAACAAGCUGAUUAGCAUUUCAUUUACACUGAAACGGUACUUGUGGAUACAAGGUUCCUGA
rnacentral:tRNA from 1 species